rnacentral:rRNA from 1 species
UAACGAAUCUUCCGCAAUGUGCGAAAGCGUGACGGAGCAAUGCCGCGUGGAGGAUGAAGCGCCUCGGCGUGUAAACUCCUGUCAGGGUCCAGGAAGCCUGACCGGACCCAGAGGAAGAGCCGGCUAACUCUGUGCCAGCAGCCGCGGUAAUACAGAGGGCUCAAGCGUUAAUCGGAAUCACUGGGCUUAAAGGGUGCGCAGGCGGACACGCAAGUGCCUUGUGAAAUCCCACGGCUCAACCGUGGAAUGGCAGGGCAUACUGCGUGUCUUGAGGUCGGCAGGGGCGAUCGGAACUCUAGGUGGAGCGGUGAAAUGCGUAGAUAUCUAGAGGAACACCAAAGGCGAAGGCAGAUCGCUGGGCCGAUCCUGACGCUCAGGCACGAAAGCAUGGGGAGCGAAGAGGAUUAGAUACCCCCGUAGUCC